rnacentral:rRNA from 1 species
UACGUAGGGGGCAAGCGUUGUCCGGAAUUAUUGGGCGUAAAGCGCGUGUAGGCGGUUCGGUAAGUCUGCUGUGAAAGUCCAGGGCUCAACCCUGGAAUGCCGGUGGAAACUGUCGAGCUAGAGUCCGGAAGAGGCGAGUGGAAUUCCUGGUGUAGCGGUGAAAUGCGCAGAUAUCAGGAGGAACACCAAUGGCGAAGGCAGCACUCUGGGACGUGACUGACGCUGAGACGCGAAAGCGUGGGGAGCAAACAGG